rnacentral:rRNA from 1 species
CGCUAGUUUCGGUGGAGCCGUCCUUGAAAUACCACCCUGGUUUGUUUGAGGUUCUAACCUUGGCCCGUGAUCCGGGUCGGGGACAGUGCAUGGUAGGCAGUUUGACUGGGGCGGUCUCCUCCCAAAGCGUAACGGAGGAGUACGAAGGUACGCUAGGUACGGUCGGAAAUCGUGCUGAUAGUGCAAUGGCAUAAGCGUGCUUAACUGCGAGACCGACAAGUCGAGCAGGUGCGAAAGCAGGUCAUAGUGAUCCGGUGGUUCUGUAUGGAAGGGCCAUCGCUCAACGGAUAAAAGGUACUCUGGGGAUAACAGGCUGAUACCGCCCAAGAGUUCAUAUCGACGGCGGUGUUUGGCACCUCGAUGUCGGCUCAUCUCAUCCUGGGGCUGUAGCCGGUCCCAAGGGUAUGGCUGUUCGCCAUUUAAAGAGGUACGUGAGCUGGGUUUAAAACGUCGUGAGACAGUUUGGUCCCUAUCUGCCGUGGGCGUUGGAUAUUUGAAGGGGGCUGCUCCUAGUACGAGAGGACCGGAGUGGACGAACCUCUGGUGUACCGGUUGUCACGCCAGUGGCAUCGCCGGGUAGCUAUGUUCGGAAGAGAUAACCGCUGAAAGCAUCUAAGCGGGAAACUCGCCUUAAGAUGAGAUAUCCCUGGGGACUAGAUCCCCUUGAAGGGUCGUUCGAGACCAGGACGUUGAUAGGUCAGGUGUGUAAGCGCAGUAAUGCGUUCAGCUAACUGAUACUAAUUGCCCGUAAGGCUUGAUCCUAUAACA